rnacentral:rRNA from 1 species
ACCCGCUGAACUUAAGCAUAUCAAUAAGCGGAGGAAAAGAAACCAACAGGGAUUGCCCUAGUAACGGCGAGUGAAGCGGCAACAGCUCAAAUUUGAAAUCUGGCUCUUUUAGAGUCCGAGUUGUAAUUUGCAGAGGGCGCUUUGGCUUUGGCAGCGGUCCAAGUUCCUUGGAACAGGACGUCACAGAGGGUGAGAAUCCCGUACGUGGUCGCUGGCUAUUGCCGUGUAAAGCCCCUUCGACGAGUCGAGUUGUUUGGGAAUGCAGCUCUAAAUGGGAGGUACAUUUCUUCUAAAGCUAAAUAUUGGCCAGAGACCGAUAGCGCGCAAGUAGAGUGAUCGAAAGAUGAAAAGCACUUUGGAAAGAGAGUCAAACAGCACGUGAAAUUGUUGAAAGGGAAGCGCUUGCAGCCAGACUUGCUUACAGUUGCUCAUCCGGGCUUUUGCCCGGUGCACUCUUCUGUAGGCAGGCCAGCAUCAGUUUGGGCGGUAGGAUAAAGGUCUCUGUCACGUACCUCUCUUCGGGGAGGCCUUAUAGGGGAGACGACAUACUACCAGCCUGGACUGAGGUCCGCGCAUCUGCUAGGAUGCUGGCGUAAUGGCUGU